rnacentral:rRNA from 1 species
GUUCUAAGGGCGGUGAAGUCAGACCGGAAGGACUGGUGGAGCGCUUAGAAGUGAGAAUGCCGGUAUGAGUAGCGAAAGAAGGGUGAGAAUCCCUUCCACCGAAUAUCUAAGGUUUCCUGAGGAAGGCUCGUCCGCUCAGGGUUAGUCGGGACCUAAGCCGAGGCCGAUAGGCGUAGGCGAUGGACAACAGGUAGAGAUUCCUGUACCAGUGCUAAUUGUUUAACCGAUGGGGUGACACAGAAGGAUAGGGAAUCGCACGAAUGGAAAUGUGCGUCCAAGCAGUGAGUGUGAGAAGUAGGCAAAUCCGCUUCUCGCGAAGCAUGAGCUGUGAUGGGGAAGGAAAUUAAGUACGGAAGUUCCUGAUUUCACGCUGUCAAGAAAAGCCUCUAGGAAGAGUAGUACUGCCCGUACCGCAAACCGACACAGGUAGAUGAGGAGAGAAUCCUAAGGUGAGCGAGAGAACUCUCGUUAAGGAACUCGGCAAAAUGACCCCGUAACUUCGGGAGAAGGGGUGCUCUAUUAGGGUGCAAGCCCGAGAGAGCCGCAGUGAAUAGGCCCAGGCGACUGUUUAGCAAAAACACAGGUCUCUGCA